AUUGAACGCUGGCGGCAGGCCUAACACAUGCAAGUCGAGCGAGCGGCGGACGGGUGAGUAAUGUCUGGGAAACUGCCUGAUGGCGGGGGAUAACUACUGGAAACGGUAGCUACUACCGCAUACCAUCAGAUGUGCCCAGAUGGGAUUAGCUAGUCGGUGGGGUAACGGCUCACAUAGGCGACGAUCCCUAGCUGGUCUGAGAGGAUGACCAGCCACACGGGAACUGAGAAACGGUCCAGAUUCCUACGGGAGGCAGCGUGGGGGAAUAUUGCACAAUGGUCGAAAGCCUGAGGCAGCCAUGUCGCGUGGAUGAAGAAGGCCUUCGGGUUGUAAAGUACUUUAAGCGGGGAGGCGUUACCCGAAGAAGAAGCACCGGCUAACUCCGUGCCAGCAGCCGCGGUAAUUC
rnacentral:rRNA from 1 species